ensembl:lncRNA
UUUUUUUCUUUUUUUUUUUUUAUUUAAUAGAGGUCAUCCAGGCUGAAAAGCAGAACCCAAAUGAAAAGCAUCUUCAAUGUGGUUAUAACAUGAGCUGCGCGAGGUCAGGCAGUGUCUUGUAUGGCCUCAUAAAAAAUACAUAACCAGACAGCCUAAUAGUAUUUCUUUGCAUUCAUUUUGGGAUGGGAACUGGCGGCUGGGGGAGGGGCGGCACGGGGCUGGCGGAGAUAGGAACAUAUAAAACCCACACGUACAUUUCCAUAAUGUGCAGCUUUUAAUACAUUUCAGUUAGGAAGAAAUGAACAUUCGUUUUAGCAGAUGCCUCAGUGAGCUUUUUUUAAAGGAACAACCGCAGGUGCCAUUGCUGCAGCCCUAAAAGCAGAGGUGGCACUCAGCGUAACCCCACACACAGGCACAGCUCCCGCACUGUGCACAUGUAGGGCACAUGUAGGGCACGGCGCUGCGGCCGUGCUGGCCUUCCUCCCAUCAGACAUUUCUAACGCACUUUGUUGUUUGUCCACACGCAAACACUGCCUGAUUAAUUUGAAUUAUUUCUCUUCCGAAAAGAAAUACACAGAUGAAAGAACCCCACUGCACGGUGCUGCUUUAAUUUGCGCUCGCGGGGAGGGCUCUGCCCAGCACGGAUUGCUGUGCGCUGUGGAGAUGUGCGGGGUGGGAGAGGGCAGGAGAAGGAGAGGGCAGCGAGGGGCUGCACAGCAACACAUGGCGCUGUGCUGAGCGCUGCCCCCAGGAGCGGUGCAGAGGUGCCGAUGCUGUGAGCGCUGUGCUGCGCAGGUGCGCCCGAGUCCGGCACUGUGGAAACAGCCCUCCUUGUUAUGGCCCAUCCCCGGCCUGAAAUUUACUGCUCCUUUGCAUUAUUAAAGAGACAGCUCGUGUGCACGAUGGGGGAGAGGAGCUGGGCGGGAUAAAUAACUGCGCGCAAUUUUUUUAAUGCUAUGUUUGUGCGCUCCAUAGUCUUUAUAUUAAGAUUCUGAGCAUUAAAGCAUGCUGGGUUAAUAGGUUGUUAUUUAUUAUUUGAAUUGUUUUCAAAAAUAAAAUCCGGGUUAGAGAAAGGGGAUUUUUCCCCCUGUGCUGAAAGGCAGGGAGGGCGCGGGGCAGCAGCUGCCCCAUGGGAUGGACCCCCCCAGCAGCUCCAGCAGCACUGCUGCACACUCACGCAGAUGCUGAGCGGGGUGGGAGCAGAGAUCCACUGCUGGGACAACCUGGGGACCCGUGGGACAGUGCACAUGGGUGUCAGAUCUCACAGCAAUUGCAGGGAAACGUGCAACUCACAGACUGAUGUGGGUGGAAAUGAGCAGUGUUUGUCCCUGCUCCCCAGACCCAGCUGCCUGCUGCCCAUCUCAAACCAAACCCAGACAGGGUGCAGCUCUUUGGGCACUGCGAGCAUCCUGCAGCCGUAGAGUCAGCAGCCAGCUGCACCACCAGCACUUCCAUUGGCACAAAGCAGACCUGAGGCUGUGCAAAUCAGCUGAGCUGCUCGUCCAGGUCACUGCCACCUCUGAACCAUGGGGCACCGGAUAGCUUACGUGAGUCCCGAGCCAUGGAGCGGGGCCCUGAUCCCAGCAGCGUCAAUCACAAUUAGAGCUCAAGUAUUAUUAACUCUGUGCAGCAAACCAGCUGACUGCUCAUUGGAGACUUCUCUGCGAAUAGUGAUCAAUGAUAAGAAAACCCUCCAGGUAAAUCCUGAGCAGCACAGAGCAGCUCAUACUGGGCUGCAGAGGCACAUGUUUCUGAAGGGAGGAACUGGGCAGGGUUUGCUGUGUCCCAGUAUUUUAUUAUCAGAGAUUCCAUGCCAUCAGGGGUUUGAGGAGAACAUGAGACCCCAGCAGUGCUUCCACCACCUACACCAAGUGCUUUGUCCCCCCCCCCUUUGCCUGUUCAGAGACAGGCACUCCCUAGAAAGGUCCACAUGGCCAGCUGCUGGCAGACCCAGCAUGGCAGCGGGAGCCAAAGCACAGCAGUGCAAUGGAACGCACAGAGCUGCUGCAAAACUCCAGAGCAGCAGAUUGUGCCCAUCCUGCCCAGCGAGGGACCAAGGAGCAGUCCAGAAAAUGCGUUGCAUAUAUACAUGGUGAUCACCCAGAGCUGCAGCCCAGACAGCAUCUGAGCACUGUUUGUAACUCCUUGAGCCAUGCUGUGCUUAUCAUAAACCGAUCCCAGUGAGUGUUUACCAUAGGUGCACAGAGUACGUUUCAAUACAGAAUGUCCACGUAUGUUUACAGCAGUGAACAGCAAAGUAAAAUCAUUGCUUCAGAGCAGAGGGACAGCCGCCAGCCAAUGCAGGAGAAUGAAAUCCAGAUUUCUGAUAGCGCCAAAUAUAAACAAGGAAUUAACACGGAGCCCUGGACAAGCAGCAAAGCAGGAGCCUCUCUGACCCUGCUCAGGUAUUCUCGUCCUGACGUCUUAAAUUCCCAAAUCAUCAAAGCAGCCAGUGAGGCCUAUCAGCACCUGAACAUGCAGAUACCUGUAACCACGGUACAUCUAUGUAAGACCAAAGUAUAAAGUUGCUGUUAUCAAAGUACAGCUGGCCUGGCCUGCAGUGUACGUGACCAUUUUUGCAUAUACAUAAUGUUAAUUAAAUGUCCCUCCUGUAAGCCAUGAUAAUAGCAAAGACUGUGACACUCCACGUUCCGGUUGGAAUAUCCAAAAGUUUUCGGGUAAAUCCGAGGUGUGGAGGCUCCCGGGGCCGUGUUAAGCAGCUCUUAUGCUCAGCCUUCAGGUGGCAGAGCUUAAGUAACGAGUGUUAGAACCGUGACAACACUCUACUGGAUUUAAAAAUACAAUUUUCAAAACUGAUUGCCAAACUCUGAUCUCAAUAGCAUGCCAAUUUUGUCAGCUCUGCCAGCUGAUCCCAUAAGAAGUGUUAUUUCUCUGUAUAAACCCAGGUGAAGCUCGGCAUCCAGAGAGGAGCGGUUUGACUCCAGGGUCCCUAAUCCCCACAGCUCCUGCACUAACACUGAAUGUUCUCUUGAAACAACAUCAAAAAUGCAAUUAUAGAAACAACAGCCAAAAUUAUUUCUUGCAUAACCGGAUUGUAUCAGCUCCAAUCUGCCACAUUACACACAGUGGUGGUGAACCUGCUCCACGUUUAGCUCCAUAUCUCCUGUUCAGACUGCUGCAAGUACUUUCCUCCAUCUUGGCUGCUCUCUAUACCACACUUUAUUAACCCGAGAUCUGCUGCUUCUGCCCUUUGCGCACCCAGAGAACACAUUCAGAAUGAGCCUGCUGUGUCAGAACAGCACACAGCCCCACGGACAGGCCCAGCUACAGAGCACAUUCGAGCAAACCCAUAACAGACCUGCGUGUGGGGUGCAGGCAGUCACUGGUGGCCCAGCAUGUGGGCAGCAGGGACAGGGAUGUGCCAGGUGACACUGCCCGCGGGCAACAAUAACCCAGCCCAGAUGUCACACAGGUAAAGCUGGCGGAGGCAAGGGUUAACCUGCGGGGCUCCUCUGCCCCCACAGAGACCAGCACAGGGCAGUGAGAGUGAGUGCGUGAGAGACUGAAGAUGUGGCGAGGCUGGGAGAAGAGGAGGUCAGUGACACUCACCUCUCACCUGGGAACAAAGGGCAGGGCAGGUCGAGAGCAGCAACCAACUCCACACCCCAAAACUACUGCGAGGCCCCAAAACCACUGCGUGACACAAAGCAGGCACCCGACAGCACAUCACUGCUGUGCAGCUCUGCUGUGCCCCUGCUGUAGCUCCUGCACUGCCCUCUGAAUACAACUGCAACUGACAAACAGAACUUCUUACCAAAAAAAAAAAAAAAAA